GUCGCUACUACCGAUUGAAUGGCUUAGUGAGGCUUUCGGAUUGGAUCUUUGCAGCUGGCAACAGCAGCGAGGGACUGAAAAGUUAUCCAAACUUGGUCAUUUAGAGGAAGUAAAAGUCGUAACAAGGUUUCC
rnacentral:rRNA from 1 species